rnacentral:rRNA from 1 species
UCGUUGAUUUCACACUGCCAAGAAAAGCCUCUAGAUAGAAUAGAGGUGCCCGUACCGCAAACCGACACAGGUAGUCAAGAUGAGAAUUCUAAGGUGAGCGAGCGAACUCUCGUUAAGGAACUCGGCAAAAUGACCCCGUAACUUCGGGAGAAGGGGUGCUCUUUAGGGUUAACGCCCAGGAGAGCCGCAGUGAAUAGGCCCAAGCGACUGUUUAUCAAAAACACAGGUCUCUGCUAAACCGUAAGGUGAUGUAUAGGGGCUGACGCCUGCCCGGUGCUGGAAGGUUAAGAGGAGUGGUUAGCUUC